AACGAACGCUGGCGGCAGGCCUAACACAUGCAAGUCGAGCGCGCCCUUCGGGGUGAGCGGCGGACGGGUGAGUAACGCGUGGGAACGUGCCCUUCUCUGCGGAAUAGCCUCGGGAAACUGAGAGUAAUACCGCAUACGCCCUUUGGGGGAAAGAUUUAUCGGAGAAGGAUCGGCCCGCGUUGGAUUAGGUAGUUGGUGGGGUAAUGGCCCACCAAGCCGACGAUCCAUAGCUGGUUUGAGAGGAUGAUCAGCCACACUGGGACUGAGACACGGCCCAGACUCCUACGGAAGGCAGCAGGGGGGAAUCUAGACAAUGGGGGCAACCCUGAUCUAGCCAUGCCGCGUGAGUGAUGAAGGCCUUAGGGUUGUAAAGCUCUUUCAGCUGGGAAGAUAAUGACGGUACCAGCAGAAGAAGCCCCGGCUAACUCCGUG
rnacentral:rRNA from 1 species